UUAUCAGAGAGUGUGGCCCCUAGGCCAUGCUCCCGGCAGCAAGCGAAGGUGUCAUUGGCACCCGUGGCACGUCAUCUGGCCUGCCACGUCAAUUUUUU
rnacentral:ncRNA from 1 species